UUAUGCGGAAAUGAAAUUGAAUGUUACUUCGAACACGUUCUUCUACAAAAUAACUGACCUGUAUUUAGUGCUAUUGCUUAAACAUCAAUCGAAGCAAAAAUGGCAUCAAUGUAUGCGUCUAAAAAUGUUAAAUUUAGAUGGAGACAAUCCAGAAAUGAGCUGCCAGGAAGUGAUCGAUUUCGGACACGAAGAUUGAGAAGUGCCUGGAUACAAGGCUAGUAUUGUUAACAUCAUCUGAUACAAUCAACUGGAACAAAGCUGAAAUGGCUGCCUGACCUGACUUAAAAAUUGGAUGGCAGUACAUCAGACUAGAAGAUUACAAGUAUUGAGGUGGACAAAAUGAAACCUGAGCCUACCAAAGCUGACAGAUUGCACAAGAAACACAUAAAUGCAGAUUGGAAGAUUCAUUCUCUGGAAAGUAGAAAAGGGCAUGUUACAUACUGUUAUCACUGCCAUGACAGAAACCAUAUUGAGGAGCUGGUCCACCUGUAGGAAGAAUUGCGCUAUUGGUUGGAGCAGCACUAUAACCCAGCCAUACACCAGCACUUAGUUUGUCAUAGGGAGCAUUUCUGAGCAGUUAUGGAGACCACUAACUAUGCAGUUGUUGCAGUGAAACUUGCACCAGUGUGUUUUCUG